AAUUUAAAAAAAAAAAAAAAAAUUAAAAAGAAACCCAAUUUUAAUGUAGAAAAAAAAUAUGAGAAGAAAAAGGUAAAAAAAAAAAAAAAAAAAAAAAGUUACAACAUAAAUAUUUAAAAAAAAGGCAACAUGGAUCGAUUUAAAAGGAAUGCAACGAGACGAGAGAGUGCUAUUGUUUAUGCAAAAAAAACAGUAGAUAAAAGCAAAGUAAAUUUCAUUGAAAAAGAAUGUAGCUAUAAUAAUGAGCUGUUAAGAGAACAUGCAAAUGUUUUAAACAUAUUAAAAAAUGUCGUAGUAACACAGAUUACAUCAGCAAGAAAAAGAAUAGUGAAACAGUUAGAUGAUUUAUUAUUUUUUGAUAAUAAAAGAAGUAGAAAUUUUGAUGAAUUUUAUGAUAAAUGUAUUAAUAUUAUUGAACAUUAUUUAAUUGUAUAUAAUGAAAUUAAUGGAAUAGUAAAAUCCAAAGCAAAAAAUAAAAGAAUAGGCAACUUUGCAAAUCCCCAAUUAAUUUCAUUUAAUAAGGAUAAUGGAAUUGUUAAUAAUACGUACAAUGUAAAUGACUUGAAUAGUGCAAAUGGAUAUAAUGGGAGUGUCAAUGAAAGUGCUAAUGAAAGUGCUAAUGAAAGUGCUAAUGAAAAUGCUAAUAGCAGUGACGAUAACAAAAAAAAAAUGUGUAAAAAAAAUAGUAAUAUAUUUUAUAAGUUAGUAGAAAAAAAUAAAACAAUUCACAACAAUGCAUUUUUAUUUGAUUAUGACGAUGAUAGUGAAAUAUAUACAUCAAGUGACGAAGAAAUUGUAUUAGAAAUUAAUCCAACUAGUAUAAAUAAGUUAAGCCAAGAUUAUAAUAAAAGUAAAAAAUAUAAAAAGGGGAAAAAAACUAACAAAAAGGUAGUAGUAUAUGAUAAAUAUACUUUUUCAAAAGAAAAUAAAGACAAUUACAUAAAAAAACAUGAAACAACAAAUACGAAUUAUACAAACCGAGAGAAUGGUGUUGUGAAAAAAAUAAAAUUAUUAAAUAGAUAUCCAUUAUAUUUAAGAGAGUUAAUUCAUAUUGUAAAAUCAGCAAAACAGAUAGAAAAAAAAGCAUUAAAUAUAUCAUUUUUAAAAAAGAAUAUGUUAGUAUCUUCAAAUAUAAAUAAAUUGAAUAGCAUAUUUGAAAAAUUAUAUCAAUAUAAUUAUUAUUUACAUAAUAAAAAGUAUGUAUUAAAAAAAAGAAGAAGAUUGUUAUACAGAAUAAUAAGAUAUAAUAUGUUAAACCAUUUUUAUAAUAAUCAUGAUUUAAUUAUGGAACAAGUGUUAAAGAAAAAUAACCAACGCUUUAACUUAAGUAUAGAAAGCAUACAACAGAUAUUUGAAAAUAAUAAAUGUACAUGUGUUUAUGGUGAUAAUGAUAAUAUCAAUGCAAAUCCUAUAUUAUGUAAAAUGUGCCAAACAAAAAUAAAAAAGUUGUUUUAUCUAAUAUGCUUUCACAAUUUUAAUUAUGCCCCUAUCUAUAAAAAUAAUCAAAUAAAUAAAAAAUUGGUAAAACCUAAAAAAUUGUUAACGCAUGUGUUUAUGAAAAGUAAUGUAUCUUCUUUUAUGUCCUCUUCAAAUUUCGUUGGGAAAGGAAAAAAAAUUGGUUUAUCAAAUGAAGAUAGUAAACAUAUAAAUGUUGAGUAUGAUAUACAGUAUUAUGAAGAUAAGUACAUAUAUAUAGUAUCACAAAAUAACAUAUUUUGUCAUAUUUUCCAUGAAGAUUAUUUAAAAAAUAAUUUUAACAAUUUCGUUUGUAGGAUAAAAAAUGGUAGUAAAGGAUAUAUUCCACUAAAUUUAAUACUUAAUAAAUAUAAAAAUAAAAAGUUUUUAAAUAGUAAAAAAAUAAAACAGUUAUUAGAGUAUAAUAAAACCUCACGUAAAAAUAGUAAUGUUGACAUAUCAUCACAGUUAAACAAAUUAAAUGUAAAUGAUAGUUUUUAUGAUACGUUAAAAACGAAAUUAAAAAAAAAUGGAAAUGAUACAAAUAUUUUUUAUAAUGAUAUAUUUACGAAAUUUUAUAACGCUUUACAUAUUUCUUUAGGUAAUACGCAAGAAAGCUAUUUAAAAAGGUUUAAGCAAGACAUAGAAUAUGUUGAUUUUACAAAAGAUUGUGAUUAUAGUUCAGAUGAUAAUUCGGUAGUGUUGUCUGAGAUUUUUAGUAAAGCGAAACAGUCGGUUGAUAGUAAAGAAAACAGUACAAAUAAUUUAAACAAAAACCAUCCAAAUCAUCCAAAUAAAACAAACCAUCCAAACCAUCCAAAUAAAACAAACCAUCCAAACCAUCCAAACCAUCCAAACCAUCCAAAUAAAACAAAAGAUAGUAAUAAUCGUUUAACCUCUUCCCCUCUAUUAUUAAAUAAAAUCAAUAAAGAAUAUAUGAAUCUUAAAAAAAUGAGUUGUAUUGAUGAACUAUUUGUAGAUGAAAAUACAUGGGAAAAUAAUAAACAUAAAAAUUAUUGUUAUUUAACUAUGCAUGGUAAUAAUGAAAUGGAUAGUAGUGAUAAUAGUGGUGACGACAGUGAUAAUAUGUUGGAAAAAAAAAAAAAAAAAAAAAAAAAAAAAAAUAAUAAUUUAAGUUCAUUUAAUGAAUAUUUAAAAGAAAUAAAUAGCGAAAUAGCAAUUAUCGAAAAUAGUGAUGAUAGUGAUGAAAAUUUGAAAAAUAAUAAUGAAAAAACAAAGAAGUUGUUGAAAUAUUUAAAAAGAUCUCCAAUUACUGCGCGUAACAAUAUUGUUAAUAAUAUGUCAAAUAAUACUAAUUUGAAAAGAAGUCUUAGUAGGAAUAACACACUAAUUAUUUCUAGUAGUACAAAUCCUAAUAUAUUAGAAAGAAGGAAAGUACAUAAUAUAAAAAAAAAUAUGAUUAUUCAUCCAUUAAUUAAUUCGAAAAAUAUCGGAUUCAAAAUAAAUGUAAAUGAUAUAGGGAAUAGACAAUUGGAUAUUUAUUGUAUUAAUAAUAAUGAAUAUGUUAAAGCAUAUAAAAAUACUUUUGAUUAUUUAAAAAAUCAUAUGAAUACAGCUAUUCAACAGAAAUAUAAUACUUUUAGUUCUAUGAAAAAGCAAAGGAUAAAUAAUGGUCUUGGUGAAAGUAGUUAUUGUGAUAACAGUAAAGAGAAAGAAGAAACGUAUUAUAGUUAUAUAAAUGAUUUAAACGAAACAGAAAAAAAUAUAAAAGAAUAUAUAGUAGUGAUUGAUGAAAAUAUAGAAGAAGAAAAAUAUAAAAUUGAUAUUUAUAACUAUGCUGAAUUAGAUGCAUAUAUUGUAGAUUCUAAAAAAGAAAAGAAAAAAGAAUUUUAUUCUAAUUUUAUUAAAAAUCAAAUAUAUUCACAUAAAUGGAUUAAUAAGUUACAAUUCAAAUUACAAAAUUAUAAUAAUAUAUAUAAUAAUAGUUAUUUUAAAAAAGAACAUAUAAAUACAGUUCUUGAAAAAAAUAUAUACACUAUUAAAUAAUACGUAUUAUAAAAAUAUGUAUGAUAUCUCUUUUAAUUUAUUAUCAAGACAUAAUUAUAAACAUUACGAGUUAUCCAAUUCAUAUAUGUUAACAAAUUUAAAUCAUAGUAUAAAUCAAAUUUAUAUUAAUAUACUCAAUUCAAUUUUAAAUGAUGUUAUAAAUGCUUCAUGUGUGACAAAAAGUAGUCAAUAUCUGAUAGAGCUUCAAAAUAUUAUUAAUGGUAAUUUACAACUAUCUGAUUUACAACUACAUGAUUUACAACUACAUGAUUUACAACUACAUGAUAUACAACUACAUGAUGAUAAAAUGUCGAGUAAUACCAUA
ensembl:lncRNA